rfam:Staphylococcus sp. HGB0015 genomic scaffold aczIz-supercont1.2, whole genome shotgun sequence.
UCUGGUGCCAAUGGCAAAGAGGUCACACCUGUUCCCAUGCCGAACACAGAAGUUAAGCUCUUUAGCGCCGAUGGUAGUCGGACUGACGUUACGCGAGAGUAGGACGGUGCCAGGU